UAUCGCGUAGGGAUUUAUCGUUGGGUGGGGGAUAACCGCGGGAAACUGCGGCUAAUACCGCAUGACGCCUGUGGGCCAAAGGCAGCAAUGUCGCCUGAUGAGGAGCCUGCGUCCGAUUAGCUAGUUGGUUGGGUAAUGGCUGACCAAGGCUGUGAUCGGUAGCUGGUCUGAGAGGAUGAUCAGCCACACUGGGACUGAGACACGGCCCAG
rnacentral:rRNA from 1 species